rnacentral:tRNA from 1 species
GUCGGAGUAGUUUAAGUUAAAACAUAGCCCUGAAGAAGCUAAAAUGGUAUUAUUACCCACCGACA